rnacentral:lncRNA from 1 species
CGAAGACCGACACAAGCAGUGAUGGUAGCGAUCAGCGGCAAUCGCAAGAGCUGGUAUCGGUAGCAAGCAACAGUAACAGUAGCAGGUAGCAGCAACAACAACGAAGACAUUAACGAGCAACAACAUCAACGACAUCGAUUGUGUAGGUCUGAUUUUUUUAAUUUUAUUUUCAUAUAUUCAAAUAAAGGAUUAAAUUGGAAUUUAUAAAAUUUAACUGGGA